rnacentral:rRNA from 1 species
UACAGAGGUCUCAAGCGUUGUUCGGAUUCAUUGGGCGUAAAGGGUGCGUAGGUGGCGCCAUAAGUCAGGUGUGAAAUCUCGGGGCUCAACCCCGAAACUGCACUUGAUACUGUGGUGCUGGAGUACUGGAGAGGAGAUUGGAAUUUACGGUGUAGCAGUGAAAUGCGUAGAUAUCGUAAGGAAGACCAGUGGCGAAGGCGAAUCUCUGGACAGUUACUGACACUGAGGCACGAAGGCCAGGGGAGCAAAACGGG